rnacentral:rRNA from 1 species
CCCUUAGAUGUUCUGGGCCGCACGCGCGCUACACUGAUCGAUUCAACGAGUUUUGAAAUAAUUUUUAUAAUUUUUCAUAUCCUUUGUCGGAAGGCAUGGGUAAUCUUUUAAAUGUCGAUCGUGAUGGGGCUAGAUUCUUGCAAUUAUUAAUCUCCAACGAGGAAUUCCUAGUAAACGCAAGUCAUCAGCUUGCAUUGAUUACGUCCCUGCCCUUUGUACACACCGCCCGUCGCUCCUACCGAUUGAGUGGUCCGGUGAGGCUUUGGGAUCUGAGCGGAAAGAGCGUUUCGCUGUUUCUGCUCGGAAAACUCAGUCGAACUUUAUCAUUUAGAGGAAGGAGAAGUCGUAACA